rnacentral:lncRNA from 1 species
AGAGUCCUGGCCGCUUGACUCAGCUAAGCGCGAAGGUGUUGUUUCUUCCUGAGGUGCGCUGGGGCUGGGACCCGGUCUGCAGAAGGUCCAGGGGAUGGCGUCGGGGGAUUGAGGAGAGGAGACCAAGCCGGCCUUGCCUCCGGGACCAGCGCUUCCAAAUUCUCUGGGGCGUCCCGGCGCGCACACGCUCCUGAGGCCUCGGCGUUCUGAGGAAAGGGGCUGGCGUGGCGACCCGGGUCCUCGAGGCCGAGAUCUGGCUGUGGCCCGCGAAGCCCCGCUUGCCCGCGCCAGCGUCUUGUCACCCCGAGCCGAGGGCCUGCGCGCGGCCGACAGAUAUGGGAUGCUGGAGGACAUCUGGGGGCCACAAAUGCUCCUUCUCCUGGAGACGCAACUCAAGGUGAGCCUUUACACCAUCCUUCUGGCAGCCCGUGCUCCCUCUCCAGAGAAUGGUUCUUCCUUUUCAUCCUCCUUUCCCACUUCACUCCCGCUCCACAGGCUGCAGUUCUCAUGGAGUUUUCAUUGUCUCGUGCAAUGCCAUCGACCUUGAAUUUCAGCAUAGGACCCAUAUGAAGUGCCACUGUUAAUGCUGGGAGCACUCCAGGAAGCAGAGAAAAGUUAUGACAUUUCAAGAAAAAUCUGAAUUGCUUGAUAUGUUCCACAGAUUGAGGUCUGUACCUAUGGUUGCCCACUAUUUCAAUAGUCAGUGUAAGGACUAUUGUAAAAAAAAAAAAAAAAAAAAAUAAAGGAAAUUGGUGAAGCUAUACCAGGAGGUGUGAAAAUCUUGCACUUUUUGCAAAAUAACUUUUUAUCUCAUAUUGAAAAUUCACCUUUUAUGUGCAGGGUUGCUAUAAGAAAGGAGUACAUGUAGACUCUAAUAUGAUGUGAGAAAAAGUGAAGUCAUUAUAUGACAACUUAAAGCAAAAGGAAGGUGAGGAUCUAACGCUAGAGAGCUUAAUGCCAUCAAAAGAUGGUUUGGUAGUUUUAGAAAGAGGUUUGGCUUUAAAAAUGUCAAGAGAGGCUGGGUGCGGUGACUCAUGCAUAUAAUCCUAGCACUUUGGGAGGCCAAGAUGGGAGGACUGCUUGAGCCCAGAAGUUUGAGACUAGUCUGGGAAACAUGGCAAAACCCUAUUUCUACUAAAAAUCCUAAAAAUUAGCCAGGCAUGGUGGCAUGCACCUAUUGUUCCAGCUACUUGGGAGGCUGAGGUAGGAGAAUCACCUGAGUCCGAGAGGUCGAGGCUGCAGUGAGCUGUGUUAGUGCCACCGCACUCCAGCCUGAGUGAUGGGAGUGAGAUUCUGCCUCAAAAGAAAAAAAAAAAAGGUCAAGAUAACAGGAAAAGCACCUUUUACCUUCCAAGAGACAAAAGAUGAGUUCUGAGAUGCCAAUAAGAAAAUAACUGAGGCCCAGCGCGGUGGCCUACACCUAUAAUCCCAGCACUUUGGGAGGCCGAGGUGGGUGGAUUGCUUGAGUUCAGGAGUUUAAGACCAGCCUGAGUAACAUGGUGAAACUCUAUCUCUA